UGAGUGAAGGCUGUAAUUGCAAAGAUGUUUUCACAUGGGUGAAUUGGAAGCCCUAUGGAUGAAAAGCAAACGACGGAAUAGGGCCCUGGAUUGCUUGGCUGAAUGGAAGGGAAAAUGAAACAAGCUGAAGACUAUAGGAUGUCAACUGUGGAUACAACUCACAAGCUACCAUAUUGAUGUGACAUGAUGAAGUGGGAAGGAAAGCCAUCUGGAGUUUCACUGGUGAAUUGAUACAUCUUGCACUUAACAUUGUGUAUCCCCUGGACUUUGAUCAAAUGGACAUGGGCUUUCUGAUCUACUGCAGAGUGCCUGGAAAUUCAGGUAUUUAGUUAUGCUUAUUUUGCAGUUUCCCCAUAUAUAAUGGAGCCAUG
rnacentral:lncRNA from 1 species